rnacentral:tRNA from 1 species
UCCUGGUGGUUCAGAUGGUAAAGCAUCUGCCUGCAAUGCAGGAGACCCAGGUUUGAUCCUUGGGUCAGGAA